rnacentral:lncRNA from 1 species
CAAUCUGAGAUUAUUAAGGUGUGUGACCAGUUCCAACCAUGGGAUGCACCCACACCUGUGGAGGGGGGCAGAUAGUGAAGGAAGGAUGGGGAUCACCAGGCUGGGUCCAGAACCCCCUGAAAAACUUCAGGAUAUGCUAGACUGUGGUCCUCCUUCGUGGCAUACCAAUAUGUUACCACUUGGCGAUAUGGCUGUCGAUUUAGUAAUUUUAAACUUUAAUGCUCUUUUCGGUGACAAAAUAUUAUAAUCUGUUUGCCAAAAUGCUAAAAAUCUCUCUAUAAGUGUGUGUGUGUGUGUGUGUGUGUGUGUCUGUCUCAAUUUGUGGGUUAAGACCAGGUGUUACCAAACUUUUUCGUACGCAGGUCAAAUCUCCAAAGUAUUUUAAAAAAUUGUGAGUUUGUAAGCCACAUACUAUAUCAGAAUGGGUAAGACAAAUUAUUGCUAAAUUUUUGUUAAAAGAUAUAACCACAUUUUUAUAAUACUUUUAUUGAAUAGGUACUUUUAUUAAUAAUACAAGUAUGCAAUUCAUUUUUUUGAUGAAAUUUUUUUAGUGCAGUC